rnacentral:rRNA from 1 species
UACAGAGGAGCCAAGCGUUGUCCGGAUUGACUGGGCGUAAAGCGCACGCAGGCGGUGGUGCGCGUGGGGUGUGAAAUCUGGCCGCUUAACGGCCAGGCGCCAUCCCAUACGGCACGGCUCGAGCCGUCCAGAGGCCGGUGGAAUUGCCGGUGUAGUGGUGAAAUGCGUAGAGAUCGGCAGGAACACCCAGGGGGAAACCAGCCGGCUGGGGACGUGCUGACGCUCAGGGGCGAAAGCGUGGGGAGCGAACCGG